rnacentral:rRNA from 1 species
GACAGAGGGUGCAAGCGUUGUUCGGAAUCAUUGGGCGUAAAGGGCGCGUAGGCGGGCGCUGUGUGUCGAAUGUGAAAUACCUGGGCUUAACCGAGGAAGUGCAUUCGAAACUACAGUGCUAGAAUCCCAAAGAGGUUGGUGGAAUUCCCAGUGUAGAGGUGAAAUUCGUAGAUAUUGGGAGGAACAUCGGUGGCGAAGGCGACCAACUGGGUUGGGUGGA